CGGAUUGUAGUCUGCAACUCGACUACAUGAAGCUGGAAUCGCUAGUAAUCGUAGAUCAGCAUGCUACGGUGAAUACGUUCCCGGGUCUUGUACACACCGCCCGUCACACCACGAGAGUUUGUAACACCCGAAGCCGGUGGAGUAACCUUUUAGGAGCUAGCCGUCGAAGGUGGGACAAAUGAUUGGGGUGAAGUCGUAACAAGGUAGCCGUAUCGGAAGGUGCGGCUGGAUCA
rnacentral:rRNA from 1 species